rnacentral:rRNA from 1 species
UGGGGAAUCUUGCGCAAUGGGCGAAAGCCUGACGCAGCCAUGCCGCGUGAAUGACGAAGGUCUUAGGAUUGUAAAAUUCUUUCACCGGGGACGAUAAUGACGGUACCCGGAGAAGAAGCCCCGGCUAACUUCGUGCCAGCAGCCGCGGUAAUACGAAGGGGGCUAGCGCUGCUCGGAAUUACUGGGCGUAAAGGGAGCGUAGGCGGACAUUUAAGUCAGGGGUGAAAUCCCGGGGCUCAACCUCGGAAUUGCCUUUGAUACUGGGUGUCUUGAGUAUGAGAGAGGUGUGUGGAACUCCGAGUGUAGAGGUGAAAUUCGUAGAUAUUCGGAAGAACACCAGUGGCGAAGGCGACACACUGGCUCAUUACUGACGCUGAGGCUCGAAAGCGUGGGGAGCAAACAGGAUUAGAUACCCUGGUAGCCCACGCCGUAAACGAUGAUUGCUAGUUGUCGGGAUGCAUGCAUUUCGGUGACGCAGCUAACGCAUUAAGCAAUCCGCCUGGGGAGUACGGUCGCAAGAUUAAAACUCAAAUGAAUUGACGGGGUCAUAGCUGUUUCCUG